ensembl:snRNA U2 U2 spliceosomal RNA
AUUGCUUCUCAGCCUUUUGGCUAAGAUCAAGUGUUGUAACAAUUUUGAAAUUAACAUAUAUCAUCUUCAUUAUUGAACUCUUU